CGAGUAUAUUUUAAUUUAUAUUUCCUGUUGUUUCCAUCAUUUUGAGCAUAUCUAUAGGUAUGGUAACUAAUAAGUCCUAUACCGAUAAUACAGAAUGGUGCAGAACAUGUAAUCAAUGGCAUUUGGUGCAUGCCUUGUCGUAAUAUGCCUAUGACUAGAGUGAAAAAAUAAGUUAUAAUUAGUAUAGAGUAUAUGUGUAUUUUUGAAAUAAAAUAACUUACGGCCAGGUCCAUAUUUUUCAGGGUUUAAAAUAUUUUCAAUUUUCAUUGUUAUAUUUUUUUUUAAUUUCAACAACAAAGAAUAAGAAAAUAGAAAAUAAACCAAUAUGCAAUUUUCAAUAUUGCUAUUUAGUAUUCUAUCAUAUAUUCACAUUAUCAGUGAGAGCCUGAAGUCACGGCAAGGUGGGAUAGAUCAGCU